AUGAUUCUCUUCAAGUCAUAAACCAACAUCUUGAUGAACUCGCUAUCCACAACGAAAACCUUGAAACAACCAUGGAAGCUUACAAUCAUUUCAUCUCUAUGCAACUGGGUCUGCUUGAAAACAACAUUCAAAACCUCUCAAUGCAGUUGGAUAGUAGUAUUAACGAUCACAUGAAAGCUUAUUUGACAACUCUCACCCCUCUCACGAUUCAACAAUUU
rnacentral:lncRNA from 1 species